UACGUAGGGUGCGAGCGUUGUCCGGAAUUAUUGGGCGUAAAGAGCUUGUAGGCGGUUUGUCGCGUCUGCUGUGAAAUCUCAAGGCUCAACCUUGAGCUUGCAGUGGGUACGGGCAGACUAGAGUGUGGAAGGGGAGACUGGAAUUCCUGGUGUAGCGGUGAAAUGCGCAGAUAUCAGGAGGAACACCGAUGGCGAAGGCAGGUCUCUGGGCCACUACUGACGCUGAGAAGCGAAAGCAUGGGGAGCGAACAGG
rnacentral:rRNA from 1 species